CUAGCCUCCACCGGCCGGACUACUACUCGCGGUGCUCCUGGGACUCCGCGCUGACGUCGUAGUCGGGUAGAGGGCGCGCUAUCAUUAGACUCUGCGGAGCCGGGGUCGUGCUCUUGCGACGGGUGGUCGCGGAGCGGAUUUCAGCUCAAUACAUCAAGUGUUUGUUGAAGAUCCACUGUGUUCCACUCUCCAUUAUGCAGAAACUGCUCAAAAAAAUUGGCACCAUCCAUGAUUCCAUCUUCUAGAGAGUGAGUGCAGUCAAGGCUUUUCUCUUAACUUGGGCAAGAGACCUUAGGAGGCAUGGCAUCCCAUGCUGAAAACUGAAACUGGCCUUUAAGCAAUAAUGGCUGCCUUGACAAGACCUCCAGCUGGCCCAGACCACCCAGAACAGUUCAAGCUCAACCCUCAACUCACACCUGUGCAGAUGGACCAUGGAGUGACACACAGAGCAAUGACUCUUACCUUUACCUCAUUAUAAUGCCAAAAUCUCUGCACAAGGAGCGCAUAAGCCUCAUUGACCUACCAUAAAAUGUACGGAUAGGUGUGUUUCCUUCAGACACACACACAUAAUUUUAUGUCCACCUCCAUGUACAAGGAUCCCCAUGAUCUCUGUAUUUACUGCAAAUAAAGUUUAUUAUAUGUGACAUCUC